CGGGUCACAAUAAUUGGCACACUCUUCCAGGAACCACUUGAGUGUAGGCGCCCCUCAACAAGAACGGACAAGGCGAAGCAUGCACCCAAGUUGUCCCGUUGAGUGACUUCCCCGAGCUACAAGCAAAGGUUUCACGCACAAGCCUGCAGGACAAAACAUUUUUACAUUCCUUUAGCUGAGGAGCUGAAACCUUCAGCCUGGAGCACAACUGCAAAAAUAAAAGCAAGAAUAAUAGUGUGUUCUUCGCAAGGCUUUGGGACUGAGGGAGAUUCUGCAGCUGCACGAAGGAGCAUUCAUUUUUUUUAAACCACAGCGCGUUGACACCCUGGUUGAAAAUUCGGUGGUGUAAAUGAUAUGCACAAGUUUGGGAAAAAAACCACAAAGAAGAUUUCUUGUAAACCUGACUGUCUACUGACAAAACUGCUUUAUUGGACUUUGCAUUUCGGAAAAGUCCCAGCUGAGAGGAAGACAGCAAAAUACUGAAAAUAUUGGGGAUGAAAAUGACUUCAGGCCAGUUUGUUAUGAAAAUGAAAGAAAUGGUAACAGAAUACAUAUACAGCUGAAUGUCCCAAAAUCAAAAUCACCAUUACUAUAUAUCCAAUGGAAUAAAUCUGGUGUAGAAGGGCACGAGGAGAUUAGGAGGGCAUUCUGGGAGCAGCACCUAAUAGACAUAAAGGUGUGGAUCCGACCUUAAAAAGCUGCAACAUAAGACUACAUGUGCUAAACAGCCAAAAAAUGUGCAGUCGUCAUCCUUUAACAUAUCAGAUCAACGUUUUGCAACCUUUCUACAUCUAGUCAAGUAAGGUGAUGGACAAUUAAAGAACAAGGCUCCUAGAUUAUCUCAGCCUGGCUGAACAUUGGUGAAGGCCUAGCACGUGUCUACUAAAGAUAAGAUGUUAAACUGGAAAUGCCAGAUGAAUGAUUGAUCACGAUGGCAGCCUCGCCAGCAGCCUGUGUGACAUUUCGACUUUUUUUGUUUUCUUAGUGUGUCUAAAAUGUAUGUUUUAAUGUUUCUCGGUAUGUUUUAUGUGGGGUGUGGGGGGGAAUAGGGGGAAACCUUUCUCAGUCACUUACUUCGAAUGAGAUGUAAUCUUUCUCCGUAUCCCCCUGCGGCCUAACAACUUAGAUUGGUGCGGCCUUUCCUGGAGACCGGCCUGGAGCUUCAAGUCGUAAGUGCUGCGCGGACUUAGCAUUGCGGACCGGCCAAUCCUUUGCCAAGGAUCGCUGUGGAAGUGCUCCGACUGCAGGGUCUGUGGACUUUAACACCAUGAAGCCGCAGUCUCCGAUAAGAAGAGGCCCGACUCGGGAGCUCCAUGCCGUGGAGUCUUCCGACCCGUCCCGACGCCGGAGUUUCCAUCAUCCCAACAAGAGGGCUUGAACAGCGGACCUGGAGCUUCAAGCCACAAGUGCUGCGCGGACUUAGCAUCGCUGAGCGGCCGAUCCUUGGCCGAGGAUCGCUGUGGAAGUGCUCCAGAGGUUGGUGAGUGGAUGGCAUCUUUGACUACACUAUUCCUUCACAGUGAAAUGAACUGAAUGCCUGAAAUAUUGUCAUUGUGUCUUUGAACCCACAACCUCCUGACCUGAGUGACAGUGCUGCCCCCCUGACAACACAAUACAACUCAAGGAACUAAACAUUUCACCUGCCAAAAAGGAUACAAUGGAUGCAUUUAAGAGACUUUUGGAUAGGGUCACAGAAUGGAGGGAUAUGAAUUAUGUACAGGCAGUUAAGCGUUGAUCAUGGCAUCAUGUUUGGCACGGAUAUCGUGGGCUGAAUGGCCUAAUGCUGUGCUGCACUGUUCUAUGUUCAUGUUCAGUUGGAGACAAUUUCUAUACUCGCUAUUCUCCAGGACAAGGGAGCUUUCCUGAUGAUUCUACAGACCACAUCAAAGUCCUGUUCUUUUCACUGCGCAGGAUGUGUGCUCCUUGGAAAUCUGCACUCUCUGCUUGUUAUGCUGUGUGCUCACAGAACUCAUACUGCUUUAUGCCAGCAGGAUCCCAUGUUCUGAGUUAGCUGACAGUAAUUUCAGGUGAGCAGGUUGGGUUUAGGCAGCGAAAGCACCAUGAGGAUUCGGUGACACUUUUAAAACACAAACUAAACUCCACAGUAAUAGUAAGAUGAAACGAGAACUUACCAGUUUGAAGUUUGAUCUUGAUUUUAUGAGGAGUUACGAUGAGCGAUUACAUGAAGAAGGGCCAUCCGUCUGCACGCGCGUCAAUCUUCAAAGCAGCGGUG